rnacentral:rRNA from 1 species
GACGGGGGGGGCAAGUGUUCUUCGGAAUGACUGGGCGUAAAGCGCACGUAGGCGGCUUUUUAAGUCAGGGGUGAAAUCCUGGAGCUCAACUCCAGAACUGCCCUUGAUACUGAGAAGCUUGAGUCCGGGAGAGGUGAGUGGAACUGCGAGUGUAGAGGUGAAAUUCGUAGAUAUUCGCAAGAACACCAGUGGCGAAGGCGGCUCACUGGCCCGGUACUGACGCUGAGAUGCGAAAGCGUGGGGAGCAAACAGG